GUAAAAAUCUGCACGAGGCAAGAACUAGUCAGGUACGAAGAAUGAUAUUGAAAUCUAAAUUAUCACAUUACUAAUCCAAUAAAAAAGAUUAUUUAAAGAGAACAUGCAUAUACAAACAAAAGUAAAUGUGUAAAUCUACAGUAGAUAAAUGCCCCUUAUAAUUGGGUACCCCUAAUUUGAUACGGUGAACACCUCUAAAAUAGUAUAAAAACUUCCAAGUUUCAAUAUCAUUUCCAAUCCUUUAUCAAACGUGGAAACAUUUUACCAAUAGUUGGUGUUUAGAACCAGAAGGACAUGUUAUGGUAUGUAAAUUUUCACAAGCAAAAUGUGUAUGAUGCCAUUGGUUCUAUAGCCUAUGCAGCAUUAGAGGUCAGGGGUUCACUAGCACUCCCUUCCCUGCAAACAUUUCCUAUGAACCCAAAGAAAAAGAAUUGCAAAUGGUGCUGAAGCAGGAGCUACUUAAACAAUUGAUAAUUGCAUUAAGAAGCCAUUGCAUCCAAUCCUAAGCCCAACACUAAACAAAACUAUUUUGGACUGAAAGAACAUAUCUUUCCCAAUAUAAACUAUGUAGGUUGGAGAUAUAUAUCCAGAAAAUGCUCAAAAAAUAUAUACAGAAUAAACCAAUCAGAUUAAAUAUGGUUUUUUUUAUUCCAUAAGCAAAUAAUUUACUCAAAAGUUUUUACAAGAAAAA
rnacentral:misc_RNA from 1 species